rnacentral:tRNA from 2 species
GGGCGCAUAGCUCAGGGGUAGAGCGCUACCUUGACAUGGUAGAGGUCCGCAGUUCGAAACUGCGUGCGCCCACCA